rnacentral:rRNA from 1 species
CGGGCAGGUGGUCUGUUAAGUCGUUUGUGAAAACCCGGGGCUCAACCCCGCGGAAUGCAGACGAUACUGGCAGGCUGGAGAUCGGUAGAGGCUAGCGGAAUUCCAGGUGUAGCGGUGGAAUGCGUAGAUAUCUGGAAGAACACCUGUGGCGAAGGCGGCUAGCUGGGCCGAGUCUGACACUCAUCCGCGAAAGCGUGGGGAGCAAACA